AGGCCGUUCCAAGAUGCUGUCAAAAUUAAAUCAAUAUGGCUACUGGAAGGCAAACAUUGAAUAUUAUUCUAUCAGGUUCUUAUGGUUUUAGAUCAUUUUAGUUGUUGUACAAAGAUUAAUUUAACAUUUUCUCUGGAAGUAUUAAUUUAGAAAGAUAAUAUGCCUCAUUGGUGUUGUGUUUUGAAGUGUGAAAUGCAAAGUAAUCGUGAUAAAGUUAGCUUUUACCACUUACCAUCAGUGCUACAUUCUAAGCACAAAACUGAACCAAUUUAACUAAAUAAGUUAUAGUUAUCAUCUGAGAGACAACAACAAUGGUAAAAUGCAAUAAAAUAUAAAGAUUUUACUAGCAAAAUGGAAAUUCCCCUGUAAUCAUCUUAUAUCUGGUAAGUUACAACAUUUGAACAUUAACGAUUUUUGAAGAUGUUAACAGUCUAAUCUUGUAGGAAAACCAGCCGACUUAACUGAUAAUAACAAUCCAGAUUGGGUUCCUUCAAUAAAUAUGGGGUAUAUAAACACAAUGAAAUGAGUUCCCCAAAAUCUAAAAUGGGAAUUAAGGUACCAAAGGAGAAUUAAAAGAAAAGGGUACCUACAAGAAAAAAUUGCUUUUUUAUUCCUCUUGAAAUGAUUUAUAAGACACUGGACUGUCUUAUAUUCUACAAAUACUAGAAUCAGCUGAGAGAAGUGGUCUACAAAAACCCAGGAAGGAAACGGAAUAUGUGGCUACGAAAGGCAAAAGAAAGGUUUACAAAGCAAAUGUGACACAUUUUUUUGAAAUAUGUAGGAAUAUCAGUAAAUUGCAUUAAAAAAAUGUAUGAAAAGAUUUUGUUCAAUAAAAAUGUUUAUAUUUA